rnacentral:misc_RNA from 1 species
AAGUCGUAACAAGGUUUCCGUAGGUGAACCUGCGGAAGGAUCAUUACCAAGUUUAAUCCAAAAACACUCAACCCAUGUGCACUAUGAUUUGUCUGUCUUUGGGGUGGAGGAAUCGAGGGUUCUAAUCCUCGCCGAUUUCACCCCACAUAUGUAAACAUCCUUUUUAUUUUGUAUUGGAAUCUACUUGUCUUAAUAAAUAAUUAGACAACUUUUAACGGUGGAUCUCUUGGCUCGUG